rnacentral:rRNA from 1 species
UACAUGCAAGUCGUGGGGCAGCAUGAGUAGCAAUACUUGAUGGCGACCGGCAAACGGGUGAGGAACACGUACACACUUCCUUCAAGCGGGGAAUAGCCCAGAGAAAUUUGGAUUAAUACCCCAUAAUAUAUUUGAUAAGGCAUCUUAUUAAUAUUAAAGCUUCGGCACUUGAUGAUGGGUGUGCGGCUGAUUAGAUAGUUGGCGGGGUAACGGCCCACCAAGUCUACGAUCAGUAGCUGAUGUGAGAGCAUGAUCAGCCACACGGGCACUGAGACACGGGCCCGACUCCUACGGGAGGCAGCAGUAAGGAAUAUUGGACAAUGGACGAAAGUCUGAUCCAGCCAUGCCGCGUGAAGGAUUAAGGUCCUCUGGAUUGUAAACUUCUUUUAUAUGGGACGAAAAAGGGCAUUCUUGUUCACUUGACGGUACCAUAUGAAUAAGCACCGGCUAACUCCGUG